CAAAAACAGUCAAAAAAUGUCAUAGUAUAGUAUGGCGUCAAAAAACAUGAAAAAAUGUCAUAGUAUAGUAUGGCGUCAAAAACGGUCAAAAAAUGUCAUAGUAUAGUAUGGCGUCAAAAACGGUCAAAAAAUGUCAUAGUAUAGUAUGGCGUCAAAAACGGUCAAAAAAUGUCAUAGUAUAGUAUGGCGUCAAAAAACAUGAAAAAAUGUCAUAGUAUAGUAUGGCGUCAAAAACGGUCAAAAAAUGUCAUAGUAUAGUAUGGCGUCAAAAACGGUCAAAAAAUGUCAUAGUAUAGUAUGGCGUCAAAAAACAUGAAAAAAUGUCAUAGUAUAGUAUGGCGUCAAAAACGGUCAAAAAAUGUCAUAGUAUAGUAUGGCGUCAAAAAACAUGAAAAAAUGUCAUAGUAUAGUAUGGCGUCAAAAAACAUGAAAAAAUGUCAUAGUAUGGCGUCAAAAACGGUCAAAAAAUGUCAUAGUAUAGUAUGGCGUCAAAAACGGUCAAAAAAUGUC